rnacentral:rRNA from 1 species
CAAUAGCGUAUAUUAAAGUUGUUGCAGUUAAAAAGCUCGUGGUUGGAUUUCUGGUCGGAAGCUCCUGUCCUCUGAUGAGCGUACAAGUGCGUCCUACCAUCCUUCUGUUAACCUUUAAGGCUUUCGCGGCUUUCUAGGGGCUCAGAUAUUUUACCUUGAGAAAAUUAGAGUGUUUCAGGCAGGCUAGCGCCGGAAUACAUUAGCAUGGAAUAAUGGAAUAGGACUUUUGCCUCUUCUGUUGGUCAUGAGGCUCGAGUAAUGAUUAAUAGGGAUAGUUGGGGGCAUUAGUACUUAACUGUCAGAGGUGAAAUUCUCGGAUUUGUUAAAGACUAACUUAUGCGAAAGCAUUUGCCAAGGAUGUUUUCAUUA